rnacentral:snoRNA from 1 species
UGCAGCCUUGUCAAAUUCAGUGCUCCGUCUCCAGUCGGUGCCACUGGCCAAAAUGGCUGCCACAGUGAAGUGUAGCUCAUGGGCCCCGUUGGUUUAUUCACAACCUUCUGGGGAUAAAUAUGUGCUACACACAGCU